GCCCCAGUGGCGCAACUGGUUAGCGCGCGGGUACUUAUAAUGCCGAGGUUGUGAGUUCGAUCCUCACCUGGGGCA